UCCGAAGCGCCCCACCCCCACCUUAAGAGGAGCCGGAGAGGUCCUCUCAUGCCCUGCUCAUGAAAGAGCUUGCUUUCACCAGCUCUGUGCUCACCAUUCAUCCUUUCUGCCGGCGGGCUUGAGGAUAUGGAUAUCCAGAGGUGACGCUGGGGGCUGCACCUCGGGGAUGGCAUCUUAAUGACUUGACUUGGCGGGUGUUAGAACAGCCCCAUUCAGAGAGUAGCUCGGAGAGGAGGAAGGAGAAGUCCCGGGAUGCUGCGCGGUGCCGGCGGAGCAAGGAGACGGAGGUGUUCUAUGAGCUGGCCCAUGAGCUGCCUCUGCCCCACAGUGUGAGCUCCCAUCUGGACAAGGCCUCCAUCAUGCGACUGGCAAUCAGCUUCCUGCGAACACACAAGCUCCUCUCCUCAGUUUGCUCUGAAAACGAGUCCGAAGCCGAAGCUGACCAGCAGAUGGACAACUUGUACCUGAAAGCCUUGGAGGGUUUCAUUGCCGUGGUGACCCAAGAUGGCGACAUGAUCUUUCUGUCAGAAAACAUCAGCAAGUUCAUGGGA
rnacentral:sRNA from 1 species